CAGUUUGUGCAAAAGCUGGCCACUGUGUCAGUUUUAAAGUGCCAAACUAACAAACCUAGUGCAAUUGUUAAGCCACUGAGAUGUGGCAGAUUUUAUAACUGCCCAGUUUGUCCUCUCUCAUUUUAUUUGACCCCAAAAGCCACUCUCACACUCCCCACAUAUCACACAAACAUCAGCAGCAACACACAAAAAGGGAGAAAAACGCAGCUGCUGUUGCCCCAACUGAAAAAAAAAAAAAAGAGUUCUUCUUUCUUUCUUCUCCAGCCAUCAUUCCCAAAGAUUAGGUUUAUGUGAUUUAGAAGUGAUCGGAAAAGAAAUCAAGUGAAAACAAGUCAAAAGAGGCCAAAUUGAAGAAAACGAAAAAAGUGGCUAAACGUGCAAAAACGGGUCAGAUCUGCAAAUCUGAAAAUAUGGGGCUGUUUUGGUCAUUUUAUAAUGUGGGAAAAUUAUUGAACUAUAAAAACAAGACACGGGAGAAAAUAUUAUCAUCUUUGGCCACAUUUUCAAAGCUUGGACAGCUAGGCCUUCAUCAAUCACACCAUUGGAUGAGAAGAUUGGAGCACUUUAAUGAUAAAUUUCUUAACCCUUUCUUCAAUUCCUUGCUUUGUAUUGUAUAUCUAAGUGUGUACAUGUUUAUUCCAUCACUUUAAUCUUGUUUAUGAAAAUAUUCAUUUGCAAAGUUGGAUGAAA